CAAGCUCGGAGGCUCUCCUUCCUCCGGGAUAACGGCCUUUUCCUCAGAAGAAACAACAACGGGACACCCGAAGCGGCGGCUGGAUAAAGUGGAGUGCGACCAGGGGGGAGAUGCGGCUCCCGGGCAGUUGAACAGCUUUCGGAACGCAUUGACCAUAAAAGGAAGGUGUAACUCGGGCCUUUGCCUAGAUUGGGAACAAUUAACCUGUCUUAGAAGCAAUUGAAUAAUUUCAAAACAUUCUGCAGAUGCAGAUUAUAUAACCAACACAAUGAUUGCAACAAAACUAAAACAAAAAACAAUUGACAAGUCACCUCUGGGAACAAGGAAGAAAGGAGGAAAGCAAAACAGAUAUGAAGCUAACCCAAUGGUUUUAAUGCCUGCAACUCCCAAAGAAACCAUUACACAAUAUUCUCUGGGUCUUACCACAGGAAACAAAGAUAGAAUGUUUGAUGAAAUGGAUAUGCUUAGGAAUAUUACAACAAAUCUAAAUGAGAUUGUACAUACAAUGGAAGGUGUCUAUAGAAAGGAAAGUCAAGAUAAAGAAAGAAAAGAGGAGGAGGAGGAGGAAGAGGAAGAA